rnacentral:rRNA from 1 species
AACAAACGCUGGCGGCGUGCCUAACACAUGCAAGUCGAACGUGAAAGUUGGCUUCGGCCGAUGAGUAAAGUGGCGCACGGGUGAGUAACGCGUGGAUAAUCUACCCUUCAGUUGGGAAUAACUCAUCGAAAGGUGAGCUAAUACCGAAUAAUACUGUUUGACCAUGGUCAGACAGUCAAAGAUAGCCUCUGCUUGCAAGCUUUCGCUGAAAGAUGAGUCCGCGUACCAUUAGCUAGUUGGUGGGGUAAUGGCCUACCAAGGCGACGAUGGUUAGCUGGUCUGAGAGGAUGAUCAGCCACACUGGAACUGAGACACGGUCCAGACUCCUACGGGAGGCAGCAGUGAGGAAUCUUGCGCAAUGGGGGAAACCCUGACGCAGCAACGCCGCGUGAGUGAGGAAGGUCUUCGGAUCGUAAAGCUCUGUCGGGUGGAAAGAAAUGUAUGGGGUUAAUAGCCUUCAUACUUGACGGUACCACCAAAGGAAGCACCGG